rnacentral:rRNA from 1 species
CUUGCAAACUAAAGAUGGCGACCGGCGCACGGGUGAGUAACACGUAUCCAACCUGCCGAUAACUCGGGGAUAGCCUUUCGAAAGAAAGAUUAAUAUCCGAUGGUAUAUUAAAGCCGCAUGGUUUUACUAUUAAAGAAUUUCGGUUAUCGAUGGGGAUGCGUUCCAUUAGUUUGUUGGCGGGGUAACGGCCCACCAAGACUACGAUGGAUAGGGGUUCUGAGAGGAAGGUCCCCCACAUUGGAACUGAGACACGGUCCAA